AACAAUCAAAGGACCUUUACGAGAAAUGUAUCUACGAUUCCUCAUUUUACCUACACCAGAUCGAAUCCCCAUACUAUUUUUCGCCUUCUCAGCAUCAGGGUAAGCACCGAUCUGCUCCAAAACCUUGAUCGCACCACUCGUCUUCUCCACAGACUCGAUAGAGUCACUAACCACCAAAGGCAUCUCAGGAACAUUCUCGAUCCGAUGACCACGAGCCAUCACAAGAGCAGGAACAGCAGUCGCGGCAAUUGCGGAAACGAUCGCGUGUCUCUUCAAAUUGACAUUGAC
rnacentral:lncRNA from 1 species